UGUAUUUCAUUUUAUAAAGUUCCAUUGAUUAUUUGGAUGUUUAUUAUUAAUAACGCUUUAGUCUUGUUCCUGUUAGCGAUUUUAAUUUCAAGUGAAUUAUUAAUUGUUCUUUUAAUUGUUCACUUGUAUUGUUUUAUUUCGUGGACAUAAGUUCGUUGUUAAUUAUAUCACAAAAUAACUACAAUUUUUAGUUCGUUGAUGUAAUCGAUGUUAUUUCGAAAUAAUCGAUUGUUAGAUCGAUUAUUAAUAGUUAUAGCAAAUUAGCGGCAAAGGAAUCACAAUGAGAGAGCUGUUUCGAAAGUUCGUAAAAUCACAUCACUUUGUUAUUUCUUCCGUAUUCACAAUUAGUUGUACAUAUUGAAUUAAAAAAAAUUAUUUAUAACAAAAAAUUAGGAUAUCUUUUCUUUUCUUUAAUAAAAUAGUUUCACUGCAAACACUAUACGCUUCGAUUCGAUGGAAUUUAAAACAUAAAUAUUCGACACUUGCAAAAAAUUAAAACCUUGUCACAUUUAAUUUAAAUUAACAAAUAGAUUUGAAAUUAUAGUUUCAGAGAUGGCGUUGAUGUUCGUAAUUAAUCCAGUAAUCUACAAUCAACAUCGAGAUUCUCUCUGUCGAAGAACAUAAGACGAAGUGAGCUGUUGUGAAAUUCGAAGGAAACUCCGUGACAGCUAAGAUCCUGCAGCGCCAUCGUCGGUAGUUGACCAAAACAUUUUCACAUCCCUUAUGAAAUUUAAAUUUUUUACACUGUUUUUUACUACCACAAAACACCAAUAUAAGUACCAAUUCAAAACUUAUUCAAGUAAAUUAAUCUUCUUUGAUCUUCCCUAGAUACAAUAGUCUCGAUCAAACAAAGUCAUGUUUCAUCUAAUUAAAACUUUGAUACGUUAUAAUAAUUCGAUCACUUUCGUUAUCAUUUGUAGCGGAAAAUUGAAUUCCACUGCAUCCCAUACUCAACAAUAACAAUCAGCUGUAUAUCAUCGGAUUACUGUAUAAACCACCAUCAAAAUUUUGAACCAACAACUUCACAUAACAAAGUUCUUCGCUAGACACGAUUAAACUUUCACAACACGCAAUUUUUUUUCCAAAUGUUAUUGAAGCUAGGUAUUAGUUGUUAAGUAUUAUAAUUUGAGGAGAAUAGACGUAUUACGUACAGGAAGCAGCGAUGGUUGAGAAGGAAGAAAAGAAAACAGCCCGCUGGACGUAAAAUCGAGUGUAUCUAGGACGUUGGAGUACAAUGCUGGAAGCACGUAGUGGAACUGAGCCGGAGUUAAAGCCAGAACGUUCAUCGGAGUGGAAGCGGAAGACGGGCCCCAAACGCAGGCCCACGCGUGCGUAUCCAACCCUGUCUCCUCUGUUGGCUAUCCUUAUUAUUCGAGCGUGUUAUCAUUAUGCCAUGCUACGGCGAGUUUAGCCGCCCAUUUGUUCUAUAUACUUUUUAUUUUUGUGCUUAGCCAGGGAGAAACAGCAUUACCGCGCCCUCUCCAAUUUCCAACCCGGCCCCCAAACUUGUCUCCACAAAGUUUCAAGAGAAAGCUCCUUACAGAUCAUUACAAGUCUAUACUAAACGUAAUUUAACUACCGAGGCCCUUUUGCACAAUAAUUUAUCAAUUAAUAAUAUUAGUACGUUAGAAAGUUGUAAGUUAUGGAUUAUAGUUAUCUUUUUCGAAAUUUUACAAUUUUACAUCAAAUAGGAUAAUUAGAUAUUGAUAUUUGUUUAUUUCAUUUGCUUUAUUAUCAAACUUGUUACUACAAGAGAGCCUAUUAAUUUGUAACUUGUAAAACUUUAUUAAUAACAUUAAUUUGAUUAUACAAGGAGGUCCAGCAAACAAUUUGAUAAGUUCUAAGGAAGAAGAAACGCACGUAUUUUAAUGCUUUAUUACAUUUUAAGUUCAUAUGUCCUAAAUCAAGAUAGAAAGAAAUAGUUAUGUUCCUAUUAAUGUGUUCUAUGAAUUAUGAUAAAUUACCGACAGAGACGCGCGUUACUUUCUAUUCCCAAUGCGACCGUCGAAACUCAGUAAAGGGAAUCAUAUUGCGCGUAAUUUUCACUCGCGGGAUAAUUUAUAAUUACUACUAACAAGGUUAACUAUGUGGCAAUAAAUACCGUGACUGAUAAAUCGAUAGUUUAAUGCAGAGUGAAAGCAGUUUUGCGGGAAACCAAUAAAUCGCCUCUUCAUAGACGCACGAAUUAAUAACUGCGUUAAUGAGCUAUUAAUAGAUCUAGUUAAUUGCUUAUCUAUUUUAUCGAUAUAACGAGCUUAUGGCAAUGAAUAGAAUUUGGAAAUAUCGUAAGAAUUAGUCUGAGCUGUUGCAUUAAUCGUGACUAUUCAAGGUUGUUUUUGUAUUCUUGGGAAAAUGAGUUUUCCCCUAUGGGAAAAUACACUCCCUGCGUUUCUGAAGGAAGUGCUUUUCAUGGCUAUGAAUGGAAGUACGUGCACGUAUUCUUACAACAAAGUACACGCUACGUUUGACGUAAUUCUGCACUAGAAUAUGUUUGAGUCUAUAAUUGAGCUAUUUAUUGAUAUUUUAAAAAAGAAUAAUUCAAUUUAUCCUUUGUUAGACUUAUUCAAAAGUAAAGUUGAUGUCGGACGCUCCUAUAUGUACGUGUAUAGUAAUCAUACGCACGCUUAAAGAAUGUUGAUUAUCUAUUUGAGAUAACAUCCCAAUAGCAUAUUUCCAAUCUUGCCUUAAAUGAUAUAUUAAUCCAUUUAGUAAUUUUUAAACCUUAUAUUAGAAAAGAAAGCAUUGUUUAGGGGACUGAUAUCUAUCGCUAUCUAAAACUAUUCAUGAUAACGUUUAUCUCUGACCUAUGUUCCCAAUAUUAUAUUACCAAUCUUGGUCUAAAUAAUAUCUCUGGAGUCACUUAUCAUUUUCUGGAAACUUAUAUAAUUCAACGAUUACACCAUUACUUAGUCUAAUUAGAAGUGAAAUAUUCAUACAAUUUUCGAACGAUCUGUGUAAUUUUGAGAAAUGCAAAUCAAGUUGAGGUAUAU
rnacentral:lncRNA from 1 species